CUGACUUCCCUGAAGGAAGAACCCAAGAUCUUCUGGAAGAAGAGAGAUUAGCCAUUAUGGAAGAGAUGAAGAAGAAAAAAGCUGAUAUAAAGAAAGUCAACGAAAUGAUGGUCAGCACCUUCUCCCUGCUUCUCCCUGCGACAAUAGCAAAUUGUAGAAGAGCCACCUGUGGCAGAGGUGAAGACCAAGUGGCCAGCUUUGUUCACAGAGCAACAGAUUGAAGCUGAAUUCACUCGAAUCACUUCAGCUGACUUGAGAGGGUCCUUUUUUUCUGGGCUGGGACAGCAUUUGCCUCGACUACUUCAGCUCUAUAGGGCCAGCAGCUUUCCAGAGCUGAAAAAUGUCCUAAGCAUGCUUGAGGAGGAUAAUUCCAACCAAACAAGAAGGGCUGUCAUUCUGAGGGGCCUGCCAUAUUUCCUCCGUGAAGAUCCUUCAAAGUUCCUCAGGACUGCAGAGCUUCUACCUGAAGUGUUAUUUCCACCAACAUCUCUCCUUCAAGAAUGAUUCAUCUUUGGGUGGGAGCCAUACAGACUCACAUGAGGUGCCAUGUCUCUGUUCCAGAGAGUAAGAGAAGUCCAGUUAAGGUCCAGGAGGAGGCAGGUGUAAUGUUCCCCAAGGCCAGACACAAGGGAAGAGGCUAGU